ACGCGAAGAACCUUACCCAGGCUUGAACAGCCAGUGACCACUUCCGAAAGGGAGCUUCCGCAAGGACACUGGUAGAGGUGCUGCAUGGCUGUCGUCAGCUCGUGUCGUGAGAUGUUGGGUUAAGUCCCGCAACGAGCGCAACCCUUGUCUGCUGUUGCCAUCAGGUUAUGCUGGGCACUCUGCAGAGACUGCCGGUGAUAAACCGGAGGAAGGUGGGGAUGACGUCAAGUCAGCAUGGCCUUUAUGUCUGGGGCUACACACGUGCUACAAUGGCCGAUACAAACCGUCGCGAGCCCGCAAGGGGGAGCUAAUCGGAGAAAGUCGGUCUCAGUUCGGAUUGUCGGCUGCAACUCGCCGGCAUGAAGUUGGAAUCGCUAGUAAUCGCGGAUCAGCACGCCGCGGUGAAUACGUUCCCGGGCCUUGUA
rnacentral:rRNA from 1 species